rnacentral:rRNA from 1 species
ACUGAACGCUGGCGGCAGGCCUAACACAUGCAAGUCGGGCGGUAGCACAGGAGAGCUUGCUCUCCGGGUGACGAGCGGCGGACGGGUGAGUAAUGUCUGGGAAACUGCCUGAUGGAGGGGGAUAACUACUGGAAACGGUAGCUAAUACCGCAUAACGUCGCAAGACCAAAGAGGGGGACCCUCGGGCCUCUUGCCAUCGGAUGUGCCCAGAUGGGAUUAGCUAGUAGGUGAGGUAAGGGCUCACCUAGGCGACGAUCCCUAGCUGGUCUGAGAGGAUGACCAGCCACACUGGAACUGAGACACGGUCCAGACUCCUACGGGAGGCAGCAGUGGGGAAUAUUGCACAAUGGGCGCAAGCCUGAUGCAGCCAUGCCGCGUGUAUGAAGAAGGCCUUCGGGUUGUAAAGUACUUUCAGCGGGGAGGAAGGUGUUGUGGUUAAUAACCACAGCAAUUGACGUUACCCGCAGAAGAAGCACCGGCUAACUCCGUGCCAGCCGCCGCGGUAA